GAGUUUGAUCAUGGCUCAGGAUGAACGCUGGCGGCGUGCUUAACACAUGCAAGUCGAACGAACCUUCGGGUUAGUGGCGGACGGGUGAGUAACGCGUGGGAAUCUGCCCUCAGGAGGGGGAUAACGGUUGGAAACGACCGCUAAUACCCCAUAUGCCGAGAGGUGAAAUGAAUUUCGCCUGAGGAUGAGCCCGCGUCUGAUUAGCUUGUUGGUGAGGUAAUGGCUCACCAAGGCAUCGAUCAGUAGCUGGUCUGAGAGGAUGAUCAGCCACACUGGGACUGAGACACGGCCCAGACUCCUACGGGAGGCAGCAGUGGGGAAUUUUCCGCAAUGGGCGAAAGCCUGACGGAGCAACGCCGCGUGAGGGACGAAGGCCUCUGGGCUGUAAACCUCUUUUCUCAAGGAAGAAGAUAUGACGGUACUUGAGGAAUAGGCCACGGCUAAUUCCGUGCCAGCAGCCGCGGUAAUACGGGAGUGGCAAGCGCUAUCCGGAAUUAUUGGGCGUAAAGCGUCCGCAGGCGGCCUUUCAAGUCUGCUGUUAAAGCGUGGAGCUUAACUCCAUCAUGGCAGUGGAAACUGAUUGGCUUGAGUAUGGUAGGGGCAGAGGGAAUUCCCGGUGUAGCGGUGAAAUGCGUAGAUAUCGGGAAGAACACCAGUGGCGAAGGCGCUCUGCUAGGCCAUUACUGACGCUCAUGGACGAAAGCCAGGGGAGCGAAAGGGAUUAGAUACCCCUGUAGUCCUGGCCGUAAACGAUGAACACUAGGUGUCGGGGGAAUCGACCCCUUCGGUGUCGUAGCUAACGCGUUAAGUGUUCCGCCUGGGGAGUACGCACGCAAGUGUGAAACUCAAAGGAAUUGACGGGGGCCCGCACAAGCGGUGGAGUAUGUGGUUUAAUUCGAUGCAACGCGAAGAACCUUACCAGGGCUUGACAUCCUGCGAACCUUUAAGAAAUUAGAGGGUGCCUUCGGGAACGCAGUGACAGGUGGUGCAUGGCUGUCGUCAGCUCGUGUCGUGAGAUGUUGGGUUAAGUCCCGCAACGAGCGCAACCCACGUUUUUAGUUGCCAGCAUUUAGUUGGGCACUCUAGAAAGACCGCCGGUGAUAAACCGGAGGAAGGUGUGGAUGACGUCAAGUCAUCAUGCCCCUUACGUCCUGGGCUACACACGUACUACAAUGCUACGGACAAAGGGCAGCAAACUCGCGAGAGCUAGCAAAUCCCAUAAACCGUGGCUCAGUUCAGAUCGUAGGCUGCAACUCGCCUACGUGAAGUAGGAAUCGCUAGUAAUCGCAGGUCAGCAUACUGCGGUGAAUACGUUCCCGGGCCUUGUACACACCGCCCGUCACACCAUGGAAGUUGGCCACGCCCGAAGUCGUUACUUUAACCCUUGUGGAGAAGGACGCCGAAGGUGGGGCUGAUGACUGGGGUGAAGUCGUAACAAGGUAACC
rnacentral:rRNA from 1 species